rnacentral:rRNA from 1 species
UACGGAGGAUGCGAGCGUUAUCCGGAUUUAUUGGGUUUAAAGGGUGCGUAGGCGGGACCAUAAGUCAGCGGUGAAAGUUUUCGGCUCAACCGGAAAAUUGCCGUUGAAACUGUGGUUCUUGAGUGCAGAAGAGGUAGGCGGAGUUCGUUGUGUAGCGGUGAAAUGCGUAGAUAUAACGAAGAACACCAAUUGCGUAGGCAGCUUACCAUACUGCAACUGACGCUGAGGCACGAAAGUGUGGGUAUCAAACAGGAUUAGAUACCCCUGUAGUCCCUGA